rfam:Loxodonta africana unplaced genomic scaffold scaffold_73, whole genome shotgun sequence.
GGUGGCACAGUAGUUAAGUGCUUGGCUGCUAACCAAAAGGUCAGUGGUUCGAAUCCACUAGCCA